UUACGGCCACAUCACGUUGAUACACCGGUUUCCGUACGAUCACCGAAGUUAAGCAAAUGUCAAGCCUGGUCAGUAACAAGAUGGGUGACAGCUUUGGAAUACCAGCUGCU